GCUUCUGCAGCUGCCAGCUUAACGGUGCAGCCCUGCUGCAACAAAAGACUGACAAGGAACCCGAGUUCAAGGACUUCCUCAAGAAAAUCGCUACAGAUCACCGGUGUAAAGGUAUGCCACUGUCCAGCUUCCUGCUGAAGCCUAUGCAGAGAAUCACCCGCUAUCCACUCAUCAUAAAGAACAUUCUCGAGAACACUCCAGAGAAUCACUU